GAGCACGUAGGUGGGUUUGUAAGUCAGAUGUGAAAGCCUUCUGUUCAACGGAAGAAUUGCAUCUGAAACUACAAACCUUGAGUGUAGGAGGGGAGAAUGGAACUUCUGGUGGAGCGGUGAAAUGCGUAGAUAUCAGAAGGAACGCCGGCGGCGAAAGCGAUUCUCUGGCCUAUUACUGACACUCAGUGUGCGAAAGCUAGGGGAGCAAACGGGAUUAGAUACCCCGGUAGUCCUAGCCGUAAACGAUGGGCACUAAGUAGAGGGGU
rnacentral:rRNA from 1 species